rnacentral:lncRNA from 1 species
AAGAAUCGGUAGGUUUCCUUCCAAAAUAUUGUAGGAGUACAUAUUUAAUGGUAAGUUUCGCGAUGCCAUCACUUGCAUCCUCGGAACGCUGAACACAUUAACUGCAUAUAUAUAUAUAUAUAAAUCAAUAGUAAGUUAAAUUGGAUUUGAUACAAAAUUAAUAUGCAAAUACAUGUAGAAACAUAUCAUAUGUUAUAGGUAAGAAGAAAAGAGAACUACUAACUAGUAAUCGCCAAAAGGAGAGCAGCAAUGAAAAAAGUAAUCUUAUUUCCAGCCAUGUUAACACAACUUUAAGAAUUAUUGCGACAGAGGAAAG